GGAAAGAGUUGGUGUCCAGACAGCAACAGAAAGGCUCCAGGUGGACUUCCUGCUCCUUCUCCAUUCCUCACAUGGAGAUUGCAGGAAUGGAUCCCAGGCUUCAGACAGGGCUGGCGGGCUCUAAGGACCAUCAGCAUCAGUCACAUUCUCAGAUGCUCACCAAGCUGCGCAAGUCCAGACCAUGGUAGACCCAACUUGCUGUCUCCUCUCCUCAGAAGCACAGGCCUCCUGUCAGUCCCUUAAUCUGGUCCCAGAGGAACAGCGCAGAGACUUCACUCUGGAUGACAAACGAGGAGGGGAGAGGCCUGCCCUGCCUGGACGCUGGCUUCCCCUUGGCAUCCUGGGCCUGCCUUCCCCACUGGUGUUCCAUCCCUAUGGUGUGACUCAAGCAGGGUGUGUGACAGCCUCCUGGGCCUUCUUCAGUCCCCUAGAAUAAGCAGUUUCAAUAAACAUCAUGAGUGAGCACUAAUUUUAUUUCCAGA